rnacentral:rRNA from 1 species
AUUGAACGCUGGCGGAAUGCUUUACACAUGCAAGUCGAACGGCAGCACGGGGCAACCUGGUGGCGAGUGGCGAACGGGUGAGUAAUACAUCGGAACGUGCCCAAUCGUGGGGGAUAACGUAGCGAAAGCUACGCUAAUACCGCAUACGAUCUACGGAUGAAAGCGGGGGAUCGCAAGACCUCGCGCGAAUGGAGCGGCCGAUGGCAGAUUGGGUAGUUGGUGGGGUCAAGGCUCACCAAACCGACGAUCUGUAGCUGGUCUGUGAGGACGACCAGCCACACUGGGACUGAGACCCGGCCCAGACUCCUACGGGAGGCAGCAGUGGGGAAUUUGGGACAAUGGGCGCAAGCCUGAUCCAGCCAUUCCGCGUGCAGGAUGAAGGCCUUCGGGUUGUAAACUGCUUUUGUACGGAAAGAAAAGGCUCUGGUUAAUACCCGGGGCUCAUGACGGUACCGUAAGAAUAGGCACCGGCUAACUACGUGCCAGCCGCCGCCGUAACAC